rnacentral:rRNA from 1 species
UGGGGAAUAUUGGACAAUGGGGGCAACCCUGAUCCAGCAAUACCGCGUGUGUGAAGAAGGCCUGCGGGUUGUAAAGCACUUUCAGUGGGGAAGAAAAGUCUUUGGUUAAUACCUGGAGAAAUUGACGUUACCCACAGAAGAAGCACCGGCUAACUCCGUGCCAGCAGCCGCGGUAAUACGGAGGGUGCAAGCGUUAAUCGGAAUUACUGGGCGUAAAGCGCGCGUAGGCGGCUUGGUCAGUCAGAUGUGAAAUCCCCGGGCUCAACCUGGGAACUGCAUUUGAUACUGCCAGGCUAGAGUAUGUUAGAGGAAAGCGGAAUUCCGGGUGUAGCGGUGAAAUGCGUAGAUAUCCGGAGGAACAUCAGUGGCGAAGGCGGCUUUCUGGAACAAUACUGACGCUGAGGUGCGAAAGCGUGGGGAGCAAACA